rnacentral:misc_RNA from 1 species
UGCUGGUUUUGGUAAUAGAGAUACAGAUGAGAUUAGCUACCUUAAGGUUGGAAUCCCGAAGGGAAAAAUCUUCAUCAUCAAUCCCAAGGGUGAGGUUGCUGUGAACCGCCGUGUUGACACAAAAUCAUACACUACGCUUCAUGAUCUUGUGCAGGGGAUGUUCCCAACCAUGACAUCAUCUGAGCAGGAGGAUUUUAAUUCAUGGAAUUUCUGGAAAUUGCCACCCCUUGAUAUUGAUAUUUGAAGGUGUCAAGUGAAAUUUUUGCUUAACCCUCUGAAUGCGGAGAUUAUUGGGUUUCUGACCAAGAUUGUUGUAGAACUAUUCAGGUAAAUUCUUAUUUUAGCAUCUAUGUAAUUUGACAAGAUUGUAGGAAAGGACAGUCUGAAAGCUUGUUUAAAAAAAUGACUAGUCACGUUUCAAACUGCCAGGGCUUUGACUGGUGAUUAAAUUACACUGGAGACGUUUUAGAACUCUUGUUUUAAAACAGUAGCAGUUGAGAGAGAGAGAGACAUUUCAGAUUAGUUUGUGGCUAUUUUGUUUAUUUCUUCGCAGUUGUAUUGUAGCCUGAUGGCAGAAGUUCCCCAUUGAUCAUCCGUUGCUGACCCAAAAGCACAUUAUAGAUCUGCACAAGAAAAGUCUAAUUCAUUAUGUCUGUAUUUUGGUUCAUAAACAGUUGAACUGUACAAAUACGACUAUAUUGUAUAGCACAUACACUUAGUAAUUAGUCCCAUGAAUAUAAGCAUUUCUCAUUCUUGAAAACAUUGAUGUAUGAUG